rnacentral:rRNA from 1 species
UCCGGUGGCGAUAGCUAUGGGGUUCCACCUGUUCCCAUUCCGAACACAGUAGUUAAGCCCAUAUACGCCGAAGGUACUUGGCUGGAAACGGCCUGGGAGAUUAGGUAGUCGCCGGUU